ACGGAGGGUGCGAGCGUUAAUCGGAAUCACUGGGCGUAAAGCGCACGUAGGCGGUUUCGUAAGUCGGAUGUGAAAGCCCUCGGCUCAACCGGGGAACUGCAUUCGAUACUGCGAGGCUUGAGUGCCGGAGAGGGUGGCGGAAUUCCAGGUGUAGGAGUGAAAUGCGUAGAUAUGUGGAGGAACACCAAUGGCGAAGGCAGCCACCUGGCUUGCAACUGACGCUGAGGUGCGAAAGCGUGGGGAUCAAACAG
rnacentral:rRNA from 1 species